UACAGCGGGGGCAAGCGUUAUUCGGAAUUAUUGGGCGUAAAGGGCGCGUAGGCGGCUUUGCAAGUGACGGGUGAAAGCCCUCGGCUUAACCGAGGAACUGCCUGUCAGACUGUAAGGCUUGAGACCGGGAGAGGUGAGUGGAAUUCCCAGUGUAGCGGUGAAAUGCGUAGAUAUCAGGAGGAACACCGGUGGCGAAGGCGGCUUUCUGGACAGAAACUGACGCUGAGGCACGAAAGCGUGGGGAGCAAACAGG
rnacentral:rRNA from 1 species